UCCAGGAGAUUUUCAAAACUUGUAGCUGUGC
rnacentral:piRNA from 1 species